rnacentral:rRNA from 1 species
AUUGAACGCUGGCGGCAGGCCUAACACAUGCAAGUCGAGCGGUAGCACAGGGAGCUUGCUCUCGGGUGACGAGCGGCGGACGGGUGAGUAAUGUCUGGGAAACUGCCUGAUGGAGGGGGAUAACUACUGGAAACGGUAGCUAAUACCGCAUAACGUCGCAAGACCAAAGAGGGGGACCUUCGGGCCUCUUGCCAUCAGAUGUGCCCAGAUGGGAUUAGCUAGUAGGUGGGGUAACGGCUCACCUAGGCGACGAUCCCUAGCUGGUCUGAGAGGAUGACCAGCCACACUGGAACUGAGACACGGUCCAGACUCCUACGGGAGGCAGCAGUGGGGAAUAUUGCACAAUGGGCGCAAGCCUGAUGCAGCCAUGCCGCGUGUAUGAAGAAGGCCUUCGGGUUGUAAAGUACUUUCAGCGAGGAGGAAGGUGUUGAGGUUAAUAACCUCAGCAAUUGACGUUACUCGCAGAAGAAGCACUGGCUAACUCCGUGCCAGCAGCCGCCGUAA